AGCUUUGAGCAGUGAUAGUAUCAUACCCAAGGUUUAUCCAAGGCACAGUUAUUGCUAAUUGAAAAUUUUUCCCAAAUACCCCCACCAUGACAACUUGUGAUUAUAGUUGGCAUUGGCAAUUUUUGAGUUUCUACAGAGA
ensembl:snRNA U4 U4 spliceosomal RNA